UGUUGAGCUUGGAUGCCGCCGCCGCCACC
rnacentral:sRNA from 1 species